AUGAAUCUCAUACGUUACAUUAAAACAGCUUGGCAUGUCCCAUAAUCUCCUACAUAAACCUCGAGAGACGCUAUCAUCUUCCCAAGUUUCUCCGUUUGUUUCUUCAGAGUACUCUCUCUCAAGACUACUAGAUUUUGGUCGGUAUAUUGAGGAAAAAGCUAACAUCCAUCUCAGCAGCGCCAGAGGACUAGGCAGAGGAUUCGGAGGCGGCGGUAGGGAAAAUUAACCAUGUAUUGGUAGCCCUUUUUUGGUCCACUACGCCUCUGUAUCUCCAUUUGCAUGUCGUUCAUACAAUAAUCUGUGCAAGGGGGUUAACAAAUGUCAGAACCAAUAUGGCAGCUGAGGUUUUAUUGGUCCAUUCCAUUUGUGUGAAUAAAUGAUAUGCCAUUUGCUGGUAACUAUCAGCUAUUCUGCUGUAGCAUCCUCUGAGUACUUCUAAUAAUUUGUUGGCAGUCAGUGUGAUGGGUGAAUGCAAAGGGAACUUCGGGAAUUCAGUCAGUAUGAUCGUACAUAUACUGUGAAAUCAUCUUAUUCCUUAAGGUCACUGCUCCAAAAAACUAAGGUCAGACUUCCUUAAACCGGCACGCCAAAUAACAAUCCCAACUUGAAAUAUCCCUCCAGCGCUGGACCUUUUUAUGCCCAAAUAUAAACACAAUUUCUAAAGUAAUGAUGCCAAAUGGAGUCCCACUCAUCAAGUACUCAAUGGAAUUAUCGUUGAAGCCACUGCAACUCGAAUUUUGGAUACCAGCGGGUGGCACUAUUUAGGCUGCAACAAAUGCAUACCUAAAGGGGUUGGUGAAGUCGGAGACUGUAGAUGCACCAAAUUUCGAGGAACCUGUGCUGCAGUGUAUUAUUAUGGGAUAUAAUUUCCAGUAGUUUCACUAAAAAUUCUGCAUCCCCAUGGUAUUAACUCUGAUUAAGCGGAUGCGGGUUCCUUCUUCACUUUGAGGUGACAUACCAUACCGGCUUCACCAUAUUAUCUGAACCGGACAAUUUAAGUCCAGCAGAUUGUCCGCGCAACUUCGUCCGACAUUGUCAUAAUGGGAGAGGUACCCAAUGAUUCAUUUCUCUUUACUUUAUUAGGCAUCCAUAAGUGAGACAAACAAAUUUUCCUGUGUACAUAUUUAAGUUCCAAAGUGAAGAAUUUUUGGUUUAUGUAAAUCCAGUUUCAUGUUUAAAUGGCACCAUGAGAAGGGAAAGUAUAAUGUGGUUGCAGUUUUUGAAGAGAUCCUGAAUGUUAAAAUGGACCACCAUAUAACGCUUACCGCAUAUGACAACCACAUUAUGUUUUCGUAGUCC